UACGUAGGGUGCGAGCGUUGUCCGGAAUUAUUGGGCGUAAAGAGCUCGUAGGCGGUCUGUCGCGUCGGCUGUGAAAACUCGGGGCUCAACCCCGAGCCUGCAGUCGAUACGGGCAGACUGGAGUACUGCAGGGGAGACUGGAAUUCCUGGUGUAGCGGUGGAAUGCGCAGAUAUCAGGAGGAACACCGGUGGCGAAGGCGGGUCUCUGGGCAGUAACUGACGCUGAGGAGCGAAAGCGUGGGGAGCGAACAGG
rnacentral:rRNA from 1 species